UACGAAGGGAGCUAGCGUUGUUCGGAAUUACUGGGCGUAAAGGGCGCGUAGGCGGCUUGGCAAGUUGGAUGUGAAAGCCCAGGGCUCAACCCUGGAAUUGCAUUCAAGACUGCCUUGCUUGAAUUCGGUAGAGGUUGGUGGAAUUCCCAGUGUAGAGGUGAAAUUCGUAGAGAUUGGGAAGAACACCUGUGGCGAAAGCGGCUCACUGGACCGCAACUGACGCUGAGGCGCGAAAGCUAGGGGAGCAAACAGG
rnacentral:rRNA from 1 species